UAGAGCUUGAAAAUGUGAUCACCUUGCUUAUAUUCAGCGGCAUAGCAAUGGAGAUUUCAGGUUAUGCAACUGUUUGUAUGCACUGCUUAUCUGAGAGCUGAAUCUGGCCUUGAACUGGAAAAGGAUGAAAGAAGUCAGCCUCAUUUCUUCAUAAAACCUCAGGCUUCUUCUGACGAUCCUAAAACCAAACUCAGCCUGGGAAGCAGCUACUGGGAAGAUUCUCAUGGAGAGAAAGGGCACCCAUCCAGGCAGUUGUGGGACUCCUUCAGUAGCAUCACAUCAAAAUCAAGUAGAAGACUGUGAGCAAAAAGAGAGGCUGCAAUCAGAAGAAUCUAAAUGGCCAUUUGAGUGUGAAGACGAAGGUCAAGAAGGACAACAAAAGAUCAAAUGAGUGUCUGGGAGCUGAACCUGGAGAUAAUCUCAAAACUGAAAAAGGCUAGGUGCACAGAAGACCAGCUACCAAUUAUGCAAAUACUCAAAAAAUCAGAACAUUAAUUAAGAUUUUAUUACGUUAUUAGUAAUGAAGUCAAAUUGAGUUGUAACGAGUUAGAAAGUGAACAUGGUUUCUUUGAAUUGUUAAAUGUACUUGUUUCAAUUUUACUGCUUUAAAAUUGCAGCAUGAAAUGUAUUUCAAAAGAAUAAUAUACAUUUGUAUUAAUUGUAGGGUAAGGGCACACUCAGUGCACUCUUUAAAUAGUGCUCUCCUCAGCCUUGUUUCAGAGUCUCUUUUUUCUAUUCUUCUCUAGCUUUCCUUUUCUAGCAUCAUCACUUUGAGUCAUCAGAAAAAUUAGAAGAAAACCCACACCAUUUCUAGUGCCAAAACCUCAGCUCUGCAGUUCUGCAAGUUAAAACAGUCCUUCCAUAACUCCCUAUUUCAGUACUUUUCUGAUCUCCUCAGGAAAAAAAAUAAAAAAAUAACAGGCUGGAUUCUUGGCCA
rnacentral:lncRNA from 1 species